rnacentral:rRNA from 1 species
GCUCCGGGUGGAUGAGUGGCGAACGGGUGAGUAACACGUGAGUAACCUGCCCCUGACUCUGGGAUAAGCCUGGGAAACUGGGUCUAAUACUGGAUAUGACUACUGGCCGCAUGGUCUGGUGGUGGAAAGAUUUAUCGGUUGGGGAUGGACUCGCGGCCUAUCAGCUUGUUGGUGAGGUAGUGGCUCACCAAGGCGACGACGGGUAGCCGGCCUGAGAGGGUGACCGGCCACACUGGGACUGAGACACGGCCCAGACUCCUACGGGAGGCAGCAGUGGGGAAUAUUGCACAAUGGGCGCAAGCCUGAUGCAGCGACGCCGCGUGAGGGAUGACGGCCUUCGGGUUGUAAACCUCUUUCAGUUGGGAAGAAGCCCCUUGGGGUGACGGUACCUUCAGAAGAAGCGCCGGCUAACUACGUGCCAGCAGCCGCGGUAAUACGUAGGGCGCGAGCGUUAUCCGGAAUUAUUGGGCGUAAAGAGCUCGUAGGCGGUUUGUCGCGUCUGCCGUGAAAGUCCGGGGCUUAACUCCGGAUCUGCGGUGGGUACGGGCAGACUAGAGUGCAGUAGGGGAGACUGGAACUCCUGGUGUAGCGGUGAAAUGCGCAGAUAUCAGGAAGAACACCGAUGGCGAAGGCAGGUCUCUGGGCUGUAACUGACGCUGAGGAGCGAAA